GAUGAACGCUGGCGGCGUGCCUAAUACAUGCAAGUCGAGCGAACAGACGAGGAGCUUGCUUCUCUGACGUUAGCGGCGGACGGGUGAGUAACACGUGGAUAACCUACCUAUAAGACUGGGAUAACUUCGGGAAACCGGAGCUAAUACCGGAUAAUAUAUUGAACCGCAUGGUUCAAUAGUGAAAGACGGUUUUGCUGUCACUUAUAGAUGGAUCCGCGCCGCAUUAGCUAGUUGGUAGGGUAACGGCUUACCAAGGCAACGAUGCGUAGCCGACCUGAGAGGGUGAUCGGCCACACUGGAACUGAGACACGGUCCAGACUCCUACGGGAGGCAGCAGUAGGGAAUCUUCCGCAAUGGGCGAAAGCCUGACGGAGCAACGCCGCGUGAGUGAUGAAGGUCUUCGGAUCGUAAAACUCUGUUAUUAGGGAAGAACAAAUGUGUAAGUAACUAUGCACGUCUUGACGGUACCUAAUCAGAAAGCCACGGCUAACUACGU
rnacentral:rRNA from 1 species